CACCGCCUGGGGAGUACGACCGCAAGGUUAAAACUCAAAUGAAUUGACGGGGACCCGCACAAGUAGUGGAGCAUGUGGUUUAAUUCGAAGAUACGCGCAGAACCUUACCAACACUUGACAUGUUCGUCGCGACUUUAAGAGAUUAAAGUUUUCGGUUCGGCCGGACGAAACACAGGUGCUGCAUGGCUGUCGUCAGCUCGUGUCGUGAGAUGUUGGGUUAAGUCCCGCAACGAGCGCAACCCUCACUUUUAGUUGCCAUCAUUUAGUUGGGCACUCUGAAAGAACUGCCAGUGAUAAGCUGGAGGAAGGUGGGGAUGACGCCAAGUCCUCAUGGCCCUUACGUGUUGGGCUACACACGUGCUACAAUGAUAUCUACAACAGGAAGCAAAACGGCGACGUUAAGCAAAUCCUUAAAAGAUAUCUCAGUUCGGAUUGCACUCUGCAACUCGAGUGCAUGAAGCUGGAAUUACUAGUAAUCGUGGAUCAGCGUGCCACGGUGAAUGCGUUCCCGGGUCUUGUACACACCGCCCGUCACACCAUGGGAGUUGGUUCUACCUUAAGGCAAGGCAUAAAACCCUUGACCACGGUAUAGUCAGCGACUGGGGUGAAGUCGUAACAAGGUAGCCGUAGGGGAACCUGCGGCUGGAUUACCUCCUUUCUAAGGAUGAAUGAAAUUUAAUUUUCAUUCUAAAAAAUAUACAUAGGUUAAUGUUGACCGUCCCCAUUUCUCUUCUUAAAGGUUAGUGUUUCUCUUGAAUGGGGCCGGUAGCUCAGUUGGUUAGAGCACACCCUUGAUAAGGGUGGGGUCGAAAGUUCGAGUCUUUCUCGGCCCACCAAAAUAAGAUUAAGGGGGAUUAGCUCAGCUGGGAGAGCGCCUGAUUUGCAUUCAGGAGGUCAGCGGUUCGAUCCCGCUAUCCUCCACCAAACACUUAGUUAUAAAAAUUGUGAAUAAAAUAAUAAUUAAUAUCAAUAUCUAUAUCCGAACAUUAGUAAUGUUAUUAGCUAAUGUUCAAAAUAAAAAUUUGAUUCAACACAGAAUUUUUUUCUG
rnacentral:sRNA from 1 species